rnacentral:rRNA from 1 species
UGGGGAAUUUUGGACAAUGGGCGAAAGCCUGAUCCAGCAAUGCCGCGUGUGUGAAGAAGGCCUUCGGGUUGUAAAGCACUUUUGUCCGGAAAGAAAUCCUUGGCUCUAAUACAGUCGGGGGAUGGCGGUACCGGAAGAAUAAGCACCGGCUAACUACGUGCCAGCAGCCGCGGUAAUACGUAGGGUGCAAGCGUUAAUCGGAAUUACUGGGCGUAAAGCGUGCGCAGGCGGUUUGCUAAGACCGAUGUGAAAUCCCCGGGCUCAACCUGGGAACUGCAUUGGUGACUGGCAGGCUAGAGUAUGGCAGAGGGGGGUAGAAUUCCACGUGUAGCAGUGAAAUGCGUAGAGAUGUGGAGGAAUACCGAUGGCGAAGGCAGCCCCUGGGCCAAUACUGACGCUCAUGCGCGAAAGCGUGGGGAGCAAACAGGAUUAGAUACCCUGGUAGUCCACGCCCUAAACGAUGUCAACUAGUUGUUGGGAUUCAUUCCUUAGUAACGUAGCUAACGCGUGAAGUUGACCGCCUGGGGAGUACGGUCGCAAGAUUAAAACUCAAAUGAAUUGACGGGGUCAUAGCUG